AUAUACACCUGUCAACUGAUAGUCCUGAAAAUGGACCUCAAUCUUCAGAGGAAUAACUGCUGUCUCAUUUUUUCUUUGAUUUCACUGCUAUUACAUAUGUAGCACUGUGCCUUCUGUCUUGUAUACACAAGUGAUUGAUUAUAUCACUUGAAUUCCGUAAUUGUUCCAAACCUGUAUUCUAUUUACUGGCCACUUCUUCAAUUUCAGGGAGUGAAGAGGGAGAAAUGCAAGAGGAAGAAGAUAUCCCAUUCAAUGGUAAUUUACCAGUCUGUGUGAAAAAAAGAUCAGUAGUCUUGCCUUAUCCUGCCUUCCCUUCUAAAGAAUCAAUAACACAGACAUUCUGAAAACACAGAAGAGAAGAAUGUAGGCUGUAAGAUCUAAAAUAUCUCCGGACAAGCAGUCUGUAGGAACCAGCUCCAGAAAGCACCAAGGCUGCCAGGAAUUCAGCUAUUAAUCAUCUUCCUCGGUGGUUCUAAAGCUCUCAGCCUGUACCCAGCCUGCCCACCAAAUCUGCGCACUUGCUUGGCGGGCACCGGGAGGUCUCAGAAACACUUUAACCUACCUGUACGGUGAUUGUCUUUUUCAGAAAAACUAGAUACCGUGGAUAAAAAACAACAGCAACAACGAUAAGAAUCUCCAGAUUUCGCCAUCUUCCAGAGACAGUGAAGGCGUUCCGAACAAGCCUGCCCAAAAUGUGCCACUUUGGCACAUGGAUUAUUUUGAGCAGAAGGCAAUCAAGACACAGCAGACUCGAGGAAAACUCUUACCCCCCUCUUGACUACCUAAAAUAAUUUAGAUCAGGGCCUGGCCCAGAAAGAGAGCUUGUACCAGAGGUAACUUUAUAUCUGAAAGACCUACUAUACGGCAGGGCGAACAUCUAAUGGCCAGACCUCUGCUCUUCCUAUUGUCCUGUGAACGGCCCUCCUCCCCUUUGAAGCCCCAUCCCAUUGUAGUUCCUUAGCUCUGGAUGGCAUAAGCGCCUCAACCGCCCAACUUGCCCCAGGUCUCACUGUCUUUGUAGGGCUCCUGUAUGGUACGUACACAAUUAAAUUUGGUUUUCUCCCAUUAA